rnacentral:lncRNA from 1 species
CUCAUUAGCUUUUAUUUUUGUAUAUAAAAGUCUGCAUUCAACUGUGAAAUGACAACCCUCUCAGUCUUCCUCUUCACAGUAGUCAGCUUUUCUCUUUCGCUUAUUAAACUUCUCUUCCAACAUUACCAUUGGUGUCCACAAUCCUUAAAUUUUGGGUCUUGAGACAAAGAACUCCUGGUGAUACUUCAAACAACAAGACUGCUCCAGUGACCCUAGGCUGCUUCACUGUAAAAGCAAACUUCCAGAAACAAAACAGACAAAACUUUGUGACGACAAAUAUCACAGUUGCC